ACGAACGCUGGCGGCGUGCUUAACACAUGCAAGUCGAACGAUGAUCCGGUGCUUGCACCGGGGAUUAGUGGCGAACGGGUGAGUAACACGUGAGUAACCUGCCCUGGACUCUGGGAUAACUUCGAGAAAUCGGAGCUAAUACCGGAUAGGACCCUUCACCGCAUGGUGUGGGGUGGAAAGUUUUUUCGGUUUGGGAUGGACUCGCGGCCUAUCAGCUUGUUGGUGAGGUAAUGGCUUACCAAGGCGUCGACGGGUAGCCGGCCUGAGAGGGUGACCGGCCACACUGGGACUGAGACACGGCCCAGACUCCUACGGGAGGCAGCAGUGGGGAAUAUUGCACAAUGGGCGCAAGCCUGAUGCAGCAACGCCGCGUGCGGGAUGACGGCCUUCGGGUUGUAAACCGCUUUUAGUACGGAAGAAGGGCAGUCUUCGGGUUGUUUGACGGUACGUGCAGAAAAAGGACCGGCUAACUACGU
rnacentral:rRNA from 1 species